rnacentral:rRNA from 1 species
GUCUACGGCCAUACCACCCUGAACGCACCCUAUCUCGUGUGAUCUCAGAAGCUAAGCAGGGUCGGUCCGGAAUUCCACCACAUUGGAGCUUCAGNNN